UGGGGGUAGAAUGUCGACCAUGAAGAGAACUGAAAGCUUAUGGUUGGAAAAGGACUGAGGCCUCACCUGGGGAGAAAGGCAGAUCAAGGACUUGGUGGAUUAUAUUUGUACAGAAUCACUUAAAAAAUACAACUGAUGAAAUUUCUAAGUAAAAGACCAAGGAUAAAAAGAAAAAUUCUGCCAGGGUCCUGGAGGGGCCAUGAACAGCCUGUACGAAUGGGCAGAACAUGGACCAGAUGACUAGAGCUCCAGCUGCCAUCUUAUAUCAUGAAUAUGCCUUCAGAGAAGAGAAAUACACAACAGGAAAGUGGAGCAAAAGAAAAGGAAGAUCUUAAGUUUGUGGUGACCUUGGGACUGCAACACAUCCCCUACUGCCUGCAUUCUGAUUCUAUUACACUUCUAAUGCAACCCGCUCUUGUUUGAGGAUUUCUAAAGCUAAGUCAUAGACCUACGUUCAGGUUGGGUUGGUGGUAAAGAGCAGGUUGAAGGUUGCUGUGCCAUAUAGGGAUCAUGCAUUUUAUAUUAUGCAAUACACAAUUUCUACACAAUUUCACAACCAGAGUUAGUGCCAAGCACAAUGAUAUCUUCCAAUCUCUGUAUCAACAUCCAUUUUGAUGGUUUAGUGUCUUGUCCAUGUCCGUUAUUAAAUGUUUUCAUCCCUAUGUGAUACAGCAUGGUACAGGCAUCAUGUGGAUGUGACUUAGGUCACAACACAGAAGAACGACUUCAUCUCUCAUAACAGCCACUUCUCCUGUUGAACUUUACAAAAGCUGUUAUUGAACUCAUUUAUCUUCCUCUAUAUACUCUCUUAAUGAAGAUUUUAUGAAACAAAGUGAUCUUUGAAAUAGCAAUUCCAUGUAAAGUAUUUCUAAAUAUCCAAAAGUUAGUUUUGUGAUUAUUAAAAUAGUUGAG